rnacentral:lncRNA from 1 species
CAUAGGACUGCACCCCAUGAGGGCAGCAGUGACUCAUGGAGGGAGUAAAAGUGGGAACCGGAGGCUGAGGUCAUGCGUCCAGGGCCGCAUUCGUUAAGGCAGGACAGGGCUUGGACAGGGUUGAAAUAAGUCGGGGGUGCUAUUGGAUUUUAUUCGGUGCAUGGAUUUUAUUGGUACACAGUAAACUGUUUCUGCGGGAAUACCUUAGGUAGCUAAAUUAUGAUAUUUCACGCAUACAGCCGCGUGAGGCCUAUGUGUUUGCCAUGUGCGAUCACUGGUAACUCGCUGGUGCGAUCACUACCGUAAUGGGGUAAUAUGCAUUUGUGGCAGUCCUAGGGAGUCGGCAGGUGAUCAAGUAUGCAUAAUUUUUUAUUCCUUCUUGGAAAGUUACUUUUCAUGCAAAGGGUAAUGGCAUCGGCAUCACACUUUUUAUUAGCUAUGAAACUACCUCGAUUAAAUAUGGAAACGUCCGCGACUCGACCAAUCAUGAGCCACUUGUAACUUGAACUAUACAUAGUGAUAGAUGUAGUUUUGUUCGCCCCGAAGGAUGCGGUGCACUUUAGGAGGACUCCGAGUGUCGCUGUUGUUCCUCACAAACUUUUUAAUCAUACGAGGCCAAAAUGAUCUAGGUAAUCCUGUGAUACCUGUUCUGAAGGGCUGCCCAGACGGCUGGUGAGUCACGCAUCCUGAACGGGUCUAGGCGAAUGCCCGGGAUAAGGGCAAUAAGGCUAUAUACGGAUUUAAAGGCUGUCUACAAUCCAUAACCGUUUGAUGGUUUGUGAAACAGCGGUCAACGGGGUAAUUGCAACUACGAGGAGGGGCGAUGCGAGUGCCCAUGGGGCUAUGCAGGCGAGUUUAGUGUCUAUGCAGGAAUUUCGAGGGCUUCGAAGCGAAGCUAGCAUUGGAUCCCAGGGAUG